AUGUACGGUCUCCGGCAAGCCCCAAGGGCGUGGAACACCAAGCUUGAUGCAAGCCUCGCAUCCCUUGGGUUCUCAUGCAGCGCUUCUGAGCAUGGCGUGUACUCGCGUGGCACCGCGAAUACGCUGCUCAUCGUCGGCAUCUAUGUCGACGACCUAGUUAUCACCGGGGCAGAGCCCGAAGAGGUCCGACGCUUCAAGGGAGAGAUGCAUCGUCUCUUCAGCAUGAGCGACCUCGGGCUGCUCCGAUACUACCUCGGCCUAGAGGUGAACCAGGAGGGGUAA
rnacentral:rRNA from 1 species